GGGGGAUAUUUAAAUUCUCUCAUUUCCUUUAGAGUUUCAAACUCAAUCUACAACAGAGAGAAAAAAAGGAAACAAAUAUUAACAGACAGGGAACAAAGGGCAUAAAGGUAUACAGCUACGAUGAAUAUCUGUAUUCAUAUAUGAUGAAUUAUCUGCCUGGCUUUUCCAUUGAGACCUGGGCCCUUCUAAUUGCAUUGCUGACCCUCCUGAUACUCCCAGGAAGCAACAGCACAGGGAAGCAAGGAGAGAUGGGGAGAAGAAAAGUUGCCUUCACAAGUGUGAAGAUGAGAUGCAUGUGAAAGUGUCCUUGGAACAACACAAUAACUCAUGCUCCUUUUUUCUCUCCACAUAUGCCCUGAUGCAGAUGGACUAUCUCGACAUGACAGUAAAUGAAACCCUCAGGCUGUUCCCUGUGGGAGGACGAACUGAA